GAUGAAGAACGUAGCGAAAUGCGAUAAGUAGUGUGAAUUGCAGAAUUCAGUGAAUCAUCGAAUCUUUGAACGCACAUUGCGCCCUUUGGUAUUCCAAAGGGCAUGCCUGUUCGAGCGUCAUUUGUACCCUCAAGCUUUGCUUGGUGUUGAGCGUCUUGUCUCUAGCUUUGCUGGAGACUCGCCUAAAAGUAAUUGGCAGCCGGCCUACUGGUUUCGGAGCGCAGCACAAGUCGCACUCUCUAUCAGCAAAGGUCUAGCAUCCAUUAAGCCUUUUUUUUCAACUUUUGACCUCGGAUCAGGUAGGGAUACCCGCUGAACUUAAGCAUAUCAAUAAGCGGAGGA
rnacentral:misc_RNA from 1 species